GUAGCAGUGGCCGAGAGGUCAAGGCAGCAGACCUAGAGUCUGAGGGUACAUUCCCUGCAUGGGUUCGACUCCCAUCUGCUACU